rnacentral:rRNA from 1 species
GACGAACGCUGGCGGCGUGCUUAACACAUGCAAGUCGAACGGAAAGGCCCUAGCUUGCUGGGGUACUCGAGUGGCGAACGGGUGAGUAACACGUGGGUGAUCUGCCUUGCACUCUGGGAUAAGCUUGGGAAACUGGGUCUAAUACCGGAUAGGAACCGUCUUUAGUGUGGUGGUUGGAAAGUUUUUUCGGUGCAAGAUGAGCUCGCGGCCUAUCAGCUUGUUGGUGGGGUAAUGGCCUACCAAGGCGUCGACGGGUAGCCGGCCUGAGAGGGUGUACGGCCACAUUGGGACUGAGAUACGGCCCAG